rnacentral:rRNA from 1 species
GACGAACGCUGGCGGCGUGCCUAACACAUGCAAGUCAGGGAGAAUGGGGUAGCAAUAUCCCUAGUAAACCGGCGCAAGGGUGAGUAACACGUAAGCAAUCUGCCUUUUGGACGGGAAUAACUUCGAGAAAUCGAGGCUAAUACCCGAUAAUGCAGCGGCAUCGCAUGAUGACAGUUGUUAAAGGCCGUAAGGUGCCAAAAGAUGAGCUUGCGUCCCAUUAGCUUGNGGCGGGGUAAUGGCCCACCAAGGCGACGAUGGGUAGCUGGUCUGAGAGGACGAUCAGCCACACUGGAACUGAGACACGGUCCAGACUCCUACGGGAGCAGCAGUGAGGAAUAUUGCGCAAUGUCCGAAAGGGUGACGCAGCGACGCCGCGUGAAGGAUGAA